rnacentral:tRNA from 1 species
GCCGGGGUGGCGAAAUGGCAGACGCAACGGACUUAAAAUCCGUCGGGUAUCCCCCGUGUGGGUUCGAGUCCCACCCCCGGCA